CUCAGUACGUAGGCCCGGCCAUGAGCAUAAAAAUAAACGCUGAGUAGGGAACUCCAAAGGAAACGGAAGGCACAGGAGGCUUUUUUUCCUCUUAUAAACAUGUGAACUAUUUUAUAGCAGAUAUAGAAAGGGGUGGGAGGGAGUGCUGGCUAACUUCCUUGAGAAAGAAGAGCAGCAGCAGUAGCCGUUCAUUGAAUAUUUACAAGUGCCAGGUACCAUCCUAAUGACUCUUCUCUACAGGCUUUAGUGCAUUUCGUUCCCACGCAGCUCUUGAAGGUGGGUGGUUGUCAUGGGCUGAGUCGUGUCUCGCCCCACAAAUUCACAUUUUGUAGCCCUAAUUCCCAGAACCUCAGAAUGGGACUGUAUUUGGGGAUAGGGCCUUUAAAGAGGUAAUUCAGUUAAAAUGAGGUUCCUAGGACGGGCUCUAAUGCCAUGUGAUUGGUGUCUCAUAAGAAGAGGGAAUCUGGGGAAUUCCCCGGCGGUCCAGGGGUUAAGAAUCCGCAGGGGGCACGGGUUCCACCCCUGGUUGGGAAACUAAGAUCCUGCAUGCCAAAAAAAGAAGAAGAAAAGAAAAAGGAAAUCCAGAGGGGGGACCACGUGAAGACACAGCAGGAAAGACCUCAGAAUAAAUCAACCCUGCCAACACCUGCAUCUCAGACUUUUAGCUUCCAGACGUAUGUGGAAAACCGAGGAUCACGGUCACCUGCUAAGCUUGUGCAACCAGUCGUGGAGCCAGCGGACAGACUCCAAAGCCCAGGCUUCUCUUGGCAACCGCCUUUCUACUUGUUCCCUGUGAAUUUGACUCCUCCGGGUACUUCAUGACAGAAGCUCAAGCCUCAUUUCUCAGGUAAGGAGCGAAUGAACUACCCAUCCAGCUGCUCUGCCAAAACAAGACAGAAGACCCAGUAAUGUGCCAGCUUGGGGGGAGGGGGUCUCAUCUGCUUUCCCCCAUCAAUGUGCUGGGCGUCCCAGUGACAUCCGAUGACAGCUGGGGUGGACCUGCAGCUGCCUGACCCCACCCCACCCCGGUGAACCUCAGCCCAUGGUCAAGCUGUAACGUCAAACAGCUAAUGUUCUGGUGAUGUCAGUUCUUAUUCUUCCCAUCUCUUUCCCUCAAGAAUGCCUAAUCUCUCACCAUCUAUAAGGUUUCCCAUUAUAGAGCGCUGCAGAACGUACUGGUUUGAAAGAGCUCUGAACUUGAGAUGCUGAAGUGCGAUCAUUAUCUCAUCAAGCUUCUCCCCCAAAGAGGACUGCCAGCACACAGACUCUUAAGCAUCCUCAAUUCAUCCCUUCUUCUAUCCCAAAGGGAAAGGAAUCACCAUUUAUUCUUAUUUCUAACAUGCUGAAAGCUGCCCUGAUGAUAAAAUGAUCUGCUAAGGAGUUGAGGUGACGUGGGGAGGCUUUGCAGGAUUAUAGCUUGGAUGGGCUGGGAGACCCUCAGGUGAGGCACAUUUUGGUGAAACUCCCAGUUACUGAGUUAAGGUUGGGGAUU